GACGAACGCUGGCGGCGUGCUUAACACAUGCAAGUCGAACGAUGAAGCCGGAGCUUGCUCCGGUGGAUUAGUGGCGAACGGGUGAGUAACACGUGAGCAAUCUGCCCUUGACUCUGGGAUAACUGCGGGAAACUGUAGCUAAUACCGGAUACGACACCUUGGGGCAUCCCAGGGUGUGGAAAGAAUUUCGGUCAAGGAUGAGCUCGCGGCCUAUCAGCUAGUUGGUGAGGUAAUGGAUCACCAAGGCGACGACGGGUAGCCGGCCUGAGAGGGUGACCGGCCACACUGGAACUGAGACACGGUCCAGACUCCUACGGGAGGCAGCAGUGGGGAAUAUUGCACAAUGGGCGGAAGCCUGAUGCAGCAACGCCGCGUGAGGGAUGAAGGCCUUCGGGUUGUAAACCUCUUUUAGCAGGGAAGAGGCGAAAGUGACGGUACCUGCAGAAAAAGCACCGGCUAACUACGUGCCAGCAGCCGCCGUAA
rnacentral:rRNA from 1 species